UGGGGAAUCUUAGACAAUGGGGGAAACCCUGAUCUAGCCAUGCCGCGUGAGCGAUGAAGGCCUUAGGGUUGUAAAGCUCUUUCAGCUGGGAAGAUAAUGACGGUACCAGCAGAAGAAGCCCCGGCUAACUCCGUGCCAGCAGCCGCGGUAAUACGGAGGGGGCUAGCGUUGUUCGGAAUUACUGGGCGUAAAGCGCACGUAGGCGGAUUAGUCAGUCAGAGGUGAAAUCCCAGGGCUCAACCCUGGAACUGCCUUUGAUACUGCUAGUCUUGAGGUCGAGAGAGGUGAGUGGAAAUUUCCCGAGUGUAGAGGUGAAAUUCGUAGAUAUUCGGAGGAACACCAGUGGCGAAGGCGGCCCUGC
rnacentral:rRNA from 1 species